rnacentral:rRNA from 1 species
AUUGAACGCUGGCGGCAGGCUCAACACAUGCAAGUCGAGCGGAGAUGAGGUGCUUGCACCUUAUCUUAGCGGCGGACGGGUGAGUAAUGCUUAGGAAUCUGCCUAUUAGUGGGGGACAACAUUCCGAAAGGAAUGCUAAUACCGCAUACGCCCUACGGGGGAAAGCAGGGGAUCUUCGGACCUUGCGCUAAUAGAUGAGCCUAAGUCGGAUUAGCUAGUUGGUGGGGUAAAGGCCUACCAAGGCGACGAUCUGUAGCGGGUCUGAGAGGAUGAUCCGCCACACUGGGACUGAGACCCGGCCCAGACUCCUACGGGAGGCAGCAGUGGGGAAUAUUGGACAAUGGGCGGAAGCCUGAUCCAGCCAUGCCGCGUGUGUGAAGAAGGCCUUUUGGUUGUAAAGCACUUUAAGCGAGGAGGAGGCUACCUGGAUUAAUACUCUAGGAUAGUGGACGUUACUCGCAGAAUAAGCACCGGCUAACUCUGUGCCAGCAGCCGCGGUAAUAC